rnacentral:misc_RNA from 1 species
UACGAAGGGUUCAAGCGUUAAUCGGAAUUACUGGGCGUAAAGCGCGCGUAGGCGGUUUGGUUAGUUGGAUGUGAAAGCCCAGGGCUCAACCUUGGAAUUGCAUCCAAUACUGCCAGGCUAGAGUACGAGAGAGGGGGGUAGAAUUCCACGUGUAGCGGUGAAAUGCGUAGAGAUAUGGAGGAAUACCAGUGGCGAAGGCGGCCCCCUGGAUCGAUACUGACGCUGAGGUGCGAAAGCGUGGGGAGCAAACAGG